rnacentral:rRNA from 1 species
AACGAACGCUGGCGGCAUGCCUAACACAUGCAAGUCGAACGAGACCUUCGGGUCUAGUGGCGCACGGGUGCGUAACGCGUGGGAACCUGCCCUUAGGUUCGGAAUAACUCCCCGAAAGGGGUGCUAAUACCGGAUAAUGUCUUCGGACCAAAGAUUUAUCGCCUUUGGAUGGGCCCGCGUUGGAUUAGCUAGUUGGUAGGGUAAAAGCCUACCAAGGCGACGAUCCAUAGCUGGUCUGAGAGGAUGAUCAGCCACACUGGGACUGAGACACGGCCCAGACCCGUAGGGGGGGAAGAGGGGGGGAUUAUUGAACAAGGGGGAAAAGCUGGACAAAGCAGUGCCGCGGGGGGGAGAAGGCCUUUGGGUUUGAAAGUCCUUUUUCCCCGGGAUGAUAAUAACGGUCCGGGGAAAAUAAGCUCGGGCUAACCCCGUG